rnacentral:rRNA from 1 species
CUACGGGAUGCUCCAGUGAGGAAUAUUGCACAAUGGGGGGAACCCUGAUGCAGCAACGCCGCGUGGAGGGUGACGCAUUUCGGUGUGUAAACUCCUUUUAUAUGUCAAGAAAAUGACGGUAGCAUAUGAAUAAGCACCGGCUAACUCCGUGCCAGCAGCCGCGGUAAUACGGAGGGUGCAAGCGUUACUCGGAAUCACUGGGCGUAAAGGACGCGUAGGCGGGUUGGAAAGUCAGGUGUGAAACCCUACAGCUUAACUGUAGAACUGCACUUGAAACUUCUAAUCUAGAGUAUGGGAGGGGGAGAUGGAAUUAGUGGUGUAGGGGUAAAAUCCGUAGAUAUCACUAGGAAUACCUAAAGCGAAGGCGAUCUCCUGGAACAUUACUGACGCUAAGGCGUGAAAGCGUGGGGAGCAAACAGGAUUAGAUACCCCCGUAGUC